UGAAGAGGGUCAUGGGGGAAGAUGCUUCACUAAACCUUGGACUCUCAGUAAAGGCUACCACUCCAGAUAAUCCUGUGUCUCCUUUUAUGCUGCAUCAGUAACUGUUUCUUGGGCUGCUCUUACUCUGCUUCUUGUGGGGGACAUCCACAACCUCUUCCAGGAUAUCCAAGUACAGCUUGCUCAACAGAGUGGCUAGGCUGGCCACCACCUGUGGCUGGGAUCCCUUCUAUUCGAGGGGUGGCUGUCCCCAUCUACAUCCACCUGUGAAUGAAUUGACAGGCAACAGGUUGCAGAAUUCAGAUGAUGGCUUGAAUAAAUAAAAAAAUGCAUAAAAUGUACCACAGUUCCCCUGCAAAGCAUCCUUGGCUGCCUGAUGGCAAUGGACACAACCAUCUAUGUCUGCAGUUGCGUGUCACUUCAAUGCCAGAGAUUUCUGAAUCAACUGGGGAGAUGUUGACAUCUGCCUGAAUCUUUACUUUCCCUGGCUAAUGAAAAGGAUAUCUGAAAUUUUGUGGGCUGUCAGGUAGGCUCUGCUCUGUACCAGACUCUGUAACUAGCCUGGAUUGCAGUCCAUUCUCAUUUGACUCAGU